GUGGAGCAGGGGUCGUUUCUUGCUUGGACACACGAUUCGCAUAUAAGUUAAUCUAUGUUUGCUCUGUUUUGGUUGGAAAAGCGAUUCUUUGAACUCUUUCUUGCAUAAAUUUAGUCAGAAGAUGUUGGGAACUGAACUGGGUGCCUUCCCGGUAGCUUAUUGAAAGCUUUGAGGUUUUUUGUAGUUACGUGUCAGCAAAAAUUCCUGGCCUUUCCUCCUUGAUCCGUGCCAUUGUAAUUGUGUAGACGCCUUCUGUCUUAUUUAUGGGUUUGAUCGGUACCAAUCGGCAAUUCGGGUAUGUGGCGGCUUGAGGACGUUUACAGAAAUUGAAUGAUGAUUUCACGCUGGAAAUAGCAAACUGAGGACUUUUUCCUUGUUUGGGCCCCUGGUCAUUGGUUCGAAUUUCUCCGGUGGAUCCUUGGCCUUGAGAAGCCGCGGUUCGUCUGUGACGUAGGUUGGCCAGUGCCAUGGCGCAGGAUAAUCCCGGGUCUACUCCCAUUGGCACCGUGCUAGGGCGACAGUGACAAACUUGCUCAAAACGAGCAGUAGGCCCAUUCUGUAAUGGGUGUGGAGCUCCCAUAGUAACGCCCAGGGAGUCGCCGAUUUUGGACCCAUGGAAGCCAACAGGGGACAACCAAAUGGAAUUCAAUUGCUUCUUGCUGCAGAACAAGAGGCACAGCGCAUUGUCAAUGCUGCCAGAGAGGGGCUUGGCUAAGGCAAGCCAAAGAAAAGGCAGAGAAGGAGAUUGUUGCAUUUUGUGUGCAAAUGGAUGCUGAGUUUCAGAGAAAGGUUGCAGAGAGUAGUGGAGAUUCUGGUGCUAAUGUCAAGCGGCUUGAGCAUGAAACGGAAACGAAGAUUGCCCACCUGAAGACGGAGGCCACAAGAAUAUCUCAGGACGUCGUGCAGAUGCUGUUGAAGCAUGUGACCACUGUGAAGGACUAGGGGCGUCAUGUAAGUGAAAGGCUCGAAAAAUUGCUCGAGGGCGUCUUUUCCGAGUUCGCAUAUUUCGAUCGGUGCUUUCUUGCUGGAUAUCACAAUUUCUUUCUUCUUGUUUUCUCCUUAUGGGUGUAAUUAACCCUAUGCGCUGCUGUGAAUUUAGCUGUUUAUUGAUUCGAUUGGUGAAAUCAUGUCCUGUCUAAGAAGUCAUUACACUUUCCUUGUUGUCUGUCCAAAAAAAAGUUCCAUAUGCUCAUGUGGAGAUGUCAGUUUUGAAGCUUC